rnacentral:rRNA from 1 species
UGGGGAAUAUUGGAUAAUGGGCGAAAGCCUGAUCCAGCCAUGCCGCGUGUGUGAAGAAGGUCUUCGGAUUGUAAAGCACUUUAAGUUGGGAGGAAGGGCAGUAAGCGAAUACAUUGCUGUUUUGAAGUUACCGACAGAAUAAGCACCGGCGAACUCUGUGCCAGCAGCCGCGGUAAUACAGAGGGUGCAAGCGUUAAUCGGAAUUACUGGGCGUAAAGCGCGCGUAGGUGGUUCGUUAAGUUGAAUGUGAAAGCCCCGGGCUCAACCUGGGAACUGCAUCCAAAACUGGCGGGCUAGAGUAGGGCAGAGGGUGGUGGAAUUUCCUGUGUAGCGGUGAAAUGCGUAGAUAUAGGAAGGAACACCAGUGGCGAAGGCGACCACCUGGGCUCAUACUGACACUGAGGUGCGAAAGCGUGGGGAGCAAACAGG